rnacentral:antisense_RNA from 1 species
CGUUUCGGCGGGGCUGUGCGGGACUCCCGAAAGGGGGUGCCGGUCCUUCGUCCGGUCGACCAACCCGCACAGUCCUGCCACCCUC